AUGUAAAUUCCUACAACAUAGCGUUAAUGCAUCGGAUCCCAUUAGAACUCUGUAGUUAAGUGCGCGUGGGCUAGAGUAGUGCUAGGAUGGGUGACCACCCAGGAAGUCCUAGUAUUUUACAUG
rnacentral:rRNA from 1 species